CCUACGGGUGGCAGCAGUGGGGAAUAUUGGACAAUGGGGGCAACCCUGAUCCAGCCAUGCCGCGUGUGUGAAGAAGGCCCUCGGGUUGUAAAGCACUUUCAGUGAGGAAGAACGCCUGGUGGUUAAUACCCAUCAGGAAAGACAUCACUCACAGAAGAAGCACCGGCUAACUCCGUGCCAGCAGCCGCGGUAAUACGGAGGGUGCGAGCGUUAAUCGGAAUUACUGGGCGUAAAGCGCGCGUAGGUGGCUUGAUAAGCCGGUUGUGAAAGCCCCGGGCUCAACCUGGGAACGGCAUCCGGAACUGUCAAGCUAGAGUGCAGGAGAGGAAGGUAGAAUUCCCGGUGUAGCGGUGAAAUGCGUAGAGAUCGGGAGGAAUACCAGUGGCGAAGGCGGCCUUCUGGACUGACACUGCCACUGAGGUGCGAAAGCGUGGGUAGCAAACAGGAUUAGAUACCCCUGUAGUC
rnacentral:rRNA from 1 species